UCUCUCUCAUUUUUCCUCUCUCUUUCUCUCGGCCGCACGGCCUCUCCCCCUUUCUUAUCCCCGACCUCUCCUUCUCUUCCUCUGCCAUCACUGGAGAUCACCACCUCCGGCCACCACUCCACUACACCGCCAUCACCAACAGAGUGAAGGACGGCGACCCAAACCCAAGAGAAAUCGAAGCCGUGCAUCGACUCCAGCCUCCGCAUGUGACCCUCCCAAUCUGCACGCCACUGUUCCACGACCCUCACGGGUUUCCGGUCAUCUUCUCACCACACCACCAUCACCGUCGCACUCAGCAAGUAAUGGAGGAUAAAACCCAGAGGCCGGAACAUCCCGUAACCACCCUCAUUGAAGUCGUCAGCUCUGGGUUUCUUCAUUCUCCAAGUUCUAGUUUGAAUCGCGCAAGACCACCUCCAAGGAUAGAAUUAGCUCGUACUUGUCCACCGAAACCCCAUGGUUUCGACCUCCAGUUCUGGUCAAAACCACCCUACGCGCCUCACGCGUCGCCACAGGCGCAUGGACCACCGCAGCUCGUCGCCGGCUUUCUAGGCUGCUUGAUUUGGUAUGUGGAUUCGGGAAAUUAUGGAGUUUUGCAGGAGAUGGAGGUUGCUGGAAUGGUUUUGAUGGAAAUUGAUUACGGUAAGGACAUUACACAAUUUCGGUUCUGUGUCCUAAGAAAGUUUUCAAUGCAAAGACAUAAUCCCAAAAGCAAUUUUUCAGUCGACCUGUUCAAACAAAAAGAAAAAAAGUUUCCGCGUUUGCUUCUUUUCGCAUUUUCCCUCCCUAAAUUUCAGAUUCCCUCUUUCUUCCAAAUUUCAGAUUCCCUCUUCAAUUCAAACCCACCGAUUUCAUUCCCUUUAUUUGUAUUUUAUAUGUUCUAUACCUUGCUUUGCUCUUCGCAACAGAAGAAAAACAAAUUGGUUUCUUGAUAUUCUAUCGGUGUUAUGCUCUCCUGACCUAAUUUUGUUCUAUCAACCCAGAUAGAAGGUUGAGGAGUCAAUAACUCCAAAAUCAGGACUAUAGAAGAUGCAGACUUUCAGAUAAUUGCUUCUUUGAAUCCUCUUAUAGCUGGAGGAUAGAUCUGGGUCUCGAACGAGCACGUCAUGUUCAAGCCAAAGGUUAUCAAUUUUUGCCUUUAAUCAUUUGGUUCCCUUGUCUGAGCUACUAAAAGAGAUGCAGUGGUUAUUGUCUAACAAUCCAGGUUAUCAAUUUUUACCUCUUUCAAAGAAAUUCAUUUUCAUUAUCAAGCCAAGGAAGUCAUUAACCUCGCAUUGUCUUUCAAACAUUUGUUACUUCUGAGAUUCGAAUUGAUAUAUAGGCAUUAUUUGAAAUGUGAGGCAAAUGAUCUCCUUGGUGAAGUUAAAAUGCUUGAGAACAUCAUAGAUGUGUUUGGCCUUACAUGCACACCACCUGUUUGAUGAAAGUUCCAAGUGACUGAAAAGAAGUGCAAGUUUAAUUUAUAACAGUUGUAUUGUAGUAUAUACCAUUGGCUACCAUAUCAGUCAGAUCAUUUAUUUUAUUUAUUGCUUCCUUUUCAGUCGUAGCUCUUCAAAAUCUUUACAAGACCCUGAACUAACUUCCCCUUUGAUCUUAUGCAGUAAACAAAUGUGUUUUCCCUUUAGUUGCAAAAUGAUUCUCAGCAAGGGAAUUUUUCUUGUACUGAAUCUAAAUUGGAAGUAAAGGGAGGUGGCUUAUUGACAUUAAUGGGUUUUAAAAAGUUGUUUGUAGCCUACUUAACAACCAACUCUUUCUAUCAUUAAAGUCAAUACUUGUAUUUCCAGUUUCUGUGCUGCUCUUUCUUUUCAGCUAACUAGCAUAUUGGAUGUGUUCCUGUAAAAUGUGUUAGUAUAUCCUACUCUCUGCUCUCUAGAUCAGUAAUCCUACCCUGUCCCAAAAAAAAAAAAAAAAAAAACUAGUGAUCCAGUAUUAUUUAAGAGAGAGAUUGAUUAAUCAACUCUUAUUAUUUCAUGAAUGAGGCGUCUUUGAAAAAAUGGCCCCAAUUUCUGAGAUAGAAUGAGUAACUUAGAGCCCUUUUUUUACACAGAACACUGAUCUUCAUUUACUGUGAAUCAUGAGCUUCUAGCUACUAUUUUUCUAACUAAUAAAUUGUACGAAUCAUGUCUCUUUUUCGUGUUAUAGGUAGGAAAGAGUGAUCCCUCCUAUUCUAUCCCAAAGAGCGACUCAUAUCAAGCAGCUCAACCUAUUGAUGAAGGUAUUUAUUGACUUGAAUGAUCGUUGUUAAUGUAUGAUGGCAAUCUAUGACAUUUGAUGACUAUCGUCUAAUUGCCGUUGUAUUUUAUAGUUGUUGAGAAGAAGGCCACGUACUUAUCUAACUUCCCAUCAUUCAUACAUACAUAAAGGAGAGGCAUCAAGGCAUAGGGGAGUGACAGCGAAAGUAAAGGCUGUUGUUGAUGCAGCUUAUGCUGGCAUCUUCGUUGUCAUCACAGAGUGUGUUCUUCUUCAACAUUUUAUUAAAUAUUGUUAGAAAACUAGUUCUGUUGAUGUAAUCACUUUGUUGGAUAUAUGGAUGAAUGUAUCGGAUUUUUAUAUAAAUGAAUGUGUUUUGGAUGUGAUGUCA